rnacentral:rRNA from 1 species
UCCGUAGGCGGUUUAAUAAGUCAGUGGUGAAAUCUGGUCGCUCAACGAUCAAACGGCCAUUGAUACUGUUAGACUUGAAUUAUAAGGAAGUAACUAGAAUAUGUAGUGUAGCGGUGAAAUGCUUAGAUAUUACAUGGAAUACCAAUUGCGAAGGCAGGUUACUACUUAUGGAUUGACGCUGAUGGACGAAAGCGUGGGGAGCGAACAGGAUUAGAUACCCCUGUA